UAACCAGUUGAUAUUCUGGUACCCGUGUAUGUGCGCCCAGUGGUGAAUCAGUGGUACUAACCAUCCAUGGAUCUGCUGGUCAUGCUUUUGUGUGUGGUUUGGUGGUGAUGUGCGUGGGAUCUUUCGUUUGGUAGUAGCCAAGUGAUGGGGUGACGCAGUGAGGUAGCUGAGCCAUUUUUAUUGGAUUGUGGUGUAAGCGUGUGGCCCGUGGCAUAGGUAAAUCCGU
rnacentral:rRNA from 1 species